rnacentral:rRNA from 1 species
AAGCAAUUAUACCGUGAAACUGCGAAUGGCUCAUUAAAUCAGUUAUCGUUUAUUUGAUAAUACCUUACUACUUGGAUAACCGUGGUAAUUCUAGAGCUAAUACAUGCUGAAAAUCCCGACUUCGGAAGGGAUGUGUUUAUUAGAUAAAAAACCAAUGCCCUUCGGGGCUUUUUGGUGAUUCAUGAUAACUUUACGGAUCGCAUAGCCUUGCGCUGGCGACGGUUCAUUCAAAUUUCUGCCCUAUCAACUUUCGAUGGUAAGGUAUUGGCUUACCAUGGUUUCAACGGGUAACGGGGAAUUAGGGUUCGAUUCCGGAGAGGGAGCCUGAGAAACGGCUACCACAUCCAAGGAAGGCAGCAGGCGCGCAAAUUACCCAAUCCCGACACGGGGAGGUAGUGACAAUAAAUACUGAUACAGGGCUCUUUUGGGUCUUGUAAUUGGAAUGAGUACAAUUUAAACCUCUUAACGAGGAACAAUUGGAGGGCAAGUCUGGUGCCAGCAGCCGCGGUAAUUCCAGCUCCAAUAGCGUAUAUUAAAGUUGUUGCAGUUAAAAAGCUCGUAGUUGAAACUUGGGCCUGGCUGGCGGGUCCGCCUCACCGCGUGCACUCGUCCGGCCGGGCCUUCCUUCUGAAGAACCUCAUGCCCUUCACUGGGCGUGCUGGGGAAUCAGGACUUUUACUUUGAAAAAAUUAGAGUGUUCAAAGCAGGCCUUUGCUCGAAUACGUUAGCAUGGAAUAAUAAAAUAGGGCGUGCGUUUCUAUUUUGUUGGUUUCUAGAGACGCCGCAAUGAUUAACAGGAACAGUCGGGGGCAUCAGUAUUCAGUUGUCAGAGGUGAAAUUCUUGGAUUUACUGAAGACUAACUACUGCGAAAGCAUUUGCCAAGGAUGUUUUCAUUAAUCAGUGAACGAAAGUUAGGGGAUCGAAGACGAUCAGAUACCGUCGUAGUCUUAACCGUAAACUAUGCCGACUAGGGAUCGGGCGAUGUUCUUUUUCUGACUCGCUCGGCACCUUACGAGAAAUCAAAGUUUUUGGGUUCUGGGGGGAUUAUGGUCGCAAGGCUGAAACUUAAAGAAA